AUGGUCCCGCGCGCUGCCCGACGACCCUGCUGCUUCACUAGAGAGCUCUGCCGCGCCAAGUCCUCGUCGGCCUUCCCUGUGCGCGCCGUCGCAUCCCCGCAACUGCAGGCGCCGGCCCCGCAGCUCUCUGCAUCGAGCAGGAUCAGGAGCGUAGCGAGGACACCCGCAUCGACCGCGCCUAGGGCUGCCUCCCCGCCCUCGUUGUUCGCACAUGGGCCACGCGGCCUGCUGUCAAUGUCGCCAAGGCCGAGCGCUGCCAGCUCCUCCGGCCCAGAUCCUGCUGACCUUUUCAAGGUCACGACCGCAACUGAGACCUCUAUUCUGCUACGUUUUGGACAGGCCAAGACCCGUACCCGGACCGUCAAGCAUCUUCUCCGAGAAUUUUGCCAAGUACCACGACACGACGACCCUCGGACGCGUCAAGUACCACUACCGUCAAGUACCUCUUCGCAAGACCAAAUUCCUCGGACGCGUCAAGUACCACUACCGUCAAGUACCUCUUCGCAAGACCAAAUUCCUCUACGAUAUGUGUACGACUACCGUAGCCGUGGAUCCAACAAAAUCAAGUAA
rnacentral:rRNA from 1 species